CCACCGAUAGCUCAGUUGGUAGAGCGGAGGACUGUAGAUCCUUAGGUCGCUGGUUCAAAUCCGGCUCGGUGGA